GUUAUAUGUUUGAUAGACUUUUUAGUAACCAUUUUAGCUGUUCCUUUUUAAGCAAAACACUACAACAAAGAAAUAACUUUAAUACUGAUUUCUUACUAUGUUAUAAAUGGUGGCUGGAGUCUUGUGUGCUGUCCUCUAGUGCACUGUAGUUAAAUGGGACAGGAAGUCUUUUGCUCUGUGAAAUAUAAAUUGGCAGGUUCCUAUUAGAUUAAAUACUUUACAGUUAUGGCCUUUUAAAGAGAGGGAAUAUAGUAUGUUUAGAUGGUCAAAUAAUUCAUGCUGCAGGCUAAGGCAGUUUAGCAGCCACUUUCUAAUUAUUAUCCAUACUGCAGAUACUCAUGCUGUGUAAUAAUAUCAUGAUGCCACUUUUAGUUUACCAAGAGAAGAAGAAAAGUGGUAGUAACUUCAUUGUAUUCCCAGAAACAUGCUGCCUUUGGUUGCAGCUGGGCACUCUUACCAUAUCUUGCCUUGAGGUUGUAGCCCAAAUACGGUCGUCUUUAUCUUUUGUCCUCUUUCAUACUGCUGCCUGUCACAAUGUGUCUACUCACUAACAAGUAGCAGUAACAGUUGAUAAGAGGUUUUACAGAAUCUGGUAGAUUUCUGCAGAAAAUGUGCAGAUAAUUCUCAGUUUCACAGAAAGGGAAUAUUUUAAAGAUCAUAUUCCUACGGGGUGUGUGUGUGUGUGUUUCUUGGUUAUAUUCACCAUGCAAACGAAUGUUACACAUUUUUUUUUUUUUAAUUCAUGCUAAAAUAUAGCUAUCCUCUUAUCACCUAAAACCAGACUGCAUGCAAACUCAGGUGAAUCUCAGGUUAGUACAUUGCAAAAUGUUAAUGUGCAUCUUAACAAAGUAGAAAAGUCCAGAAAACUUGAAUUCAACUUUGAAACCUUCUCAGAGGCUUGUAUUUCAGAUGCUGUAGGACUCUAGCACGGAUCAGCCGUGCCAAAAAUGAAAUUUUGACUUGGACACAUUCAUGCUUUUACAAAGUUAUAUGUAAAGAGUAGUUUUCUCUAGAUUUCUGCAGAUUGGGUUAUUCUGCUUCUCUUCUACAAAUUUUUCUGUUUUUCUAAUAAUUUGCAGAAUGAUGCCUAGUAAGUUGCUCAAAGCACACUUAAAAAUAUUAAUGUGAAGCUGUAAGAUCUGUUCCCAGAUUGAUUAAAUGUAGUAUCUUAAUGUUCUGUUACAAGAGCUUUCAACAUGAGUCCUCGAUUAGGUGUCCAGGAUCUACUUCUUCAGUCAGUUUUGAACCUUAAAAUGCAAACCACCUUUAAUGGUUAUGUUGGUUUUAAGAUGUUGAAAACUGUUGCUACCAUUUGUAGAGUUUUUUUAUGCCAAAGUAAACAGGAGUCUUAAUGUUUUUGUCAAACUCGUUACUAUGUGUCAGAAGUGCUACAAGUUUGGAAAAGAGACGGUGCUUUCUGGAGCUGAAGUUUAAUGACGAUACUGGAAAGUCUGAGGAAUGUGGUUGAAUGUGCAAUACAGUGCUUGUUCUGUUGUGCCCCUAGAAGAGAAUUUAUGCUGAAUAUAUUUCAAUUUUUUUUCUUUUUCUGGGGGAAAACACUCUCUGAACUUAUGCACAGCACAGAUUUAAGAUUCCAGCUAACCUUUUUAGUCCUCUGCGCAUGCUGUGGCUGAACCUCUUAUACAUCUAUGUCCGAUAGCAGAAAAGGUACAGGGGUCUCAGCUCCAGAGAACCUGCAGUCUGUACUCGAAUGUGAUUUGUUGUGAUUCAAGCUGUAUUCCUAAACCUUGUUUAGGUAUGCUGCACAGGGGCCAUAUUAUAGAAACUAGUCAGAAAAUGAUAGAUUUCUGGAAUUCGUUUAGUUAGUUUAGGGAGCUUGAGGUGAAUAAAUGGGAUGGCAGGGUAAAAUUUCCCUGUAUGUAUCACAAUCUUGACUGAAAAAUAAAGUAGCAGCUUGUUUAAAAAUGAAAAAAGCAACUUGUUGAUAGCUAGUGUAGGCAGGCUUGAAUGCCUUUACAGUACUUUAUUUAGUCACAGAUUAACCUAACUGCUUUCUGUAGCAGAUAAAUAGAGGGGCAGAGUGGGGGAGUGCACAUGGGAGUGCCCAAUGGGGCAGGCGCUUACAGUGCCCUUGAGGAAGCAGUGUGACUGAGGGCCCGUGUCAGGUGUGUGUAAACAUACAGCAUGAAUGAGAAAUGGCCAGGUGAGAUUAGAAGUCUCUGUGCACUUGCAGGGCUGUGAGCUCCCUGAGAUCAUAGAAAUGUGGUGAGAUAGCUCACACAAUAGAACUGCUGCAGUGGAUGGUUGUGUGCUCUUUAGGAAGGCCAAGUAGGGAAGAUGGAGAGGUUGCACUUUUUGUAAAGGAGGGGCUUGAAUGCAUGGAGCUCUGCUUUGGAAAAGGCAACAGGCCUGCUGAGAGCUUAUGGGUCAGGAUUAGAGGGGAGGACAGGGAGGGGGAUGUCAUGGUGAGUGUCUGCAGCAGGCCUGCCCCAUCAAGAUGAAGAAGCGGACAAAACUUUCUUUAGAUGACUAGCAGAAACAUGGUGAUAGUAGGCCGUGGCUCUCAUGGAGGACUUGAACCACCCUGAAGCCUGCUGGAGUGCAGCAUGACACUUCCAUCCUUGUGCAUCCUAGCAGACAAGUCAGUCGAAUGUGAGUCAGCAGUGUGCCUUUGCAGCAGUGAAGGAUGACUGUGCACUGGGCUACGUUAGCAAGAGUGUAGCCAGCAGGUUGAGGAAAAUGUUUGUUCCUGUCUGCUUGGCAGUUCUGAGACUGCAUCUAGCAUACUGUGUCCAGUUUGGAGCUUUGCAGUGCAGGAGGGAGACUGGCAAACAUCCUUGGAGAUAUCAAAAGUCAUGUGGACACAAUCCUGGGGAAUGUGUUCUAGGUGACCCUGCUUGAGCAGGGGGGUUGGACUAUAUGAUCCCUAGAGGACCCUUCCAACAUCAACCAUUCUGUGAUUCCGUGAAACAGGAGCCAGUGCAGUGAAGGGCCACCAAGAAGGAUAGUGGACUGGAGCACAUGGUGUGUGAGGAGAGGCUGAGGAAGCUGGAGAAGAGAUGGCUAAGGGGGGACAUAAUUGCUGUUUUCAGCUACCUCAUGGGUAGGAAUUAUAGACAAGGUGGAGCUGGGCGCUUCUUGGAGGGGCACAACAAAAGGAUGGGACAAAACUGGCACAAGCUGCAACAAGGGAAAUUCCAGUUGAGUAUAAGGAAAGGAUUCUUCACUGUGAGGAUGGUCAGACCCUGAGAUGCCCAGAGAGGUUGUGGGAUCUCUGUUCUUAGAGAUGUUCAGUGUUCAAAUGAAAUUAGCCCUACUUUGAGCAAGGGAUGGGCCUGGAGUCCCCUUCCGACCUAAAUUAUUUUGUGAUAGAUUUUCACUGCUUAUGUGUUCUUUUGUUUUCUAAAACUGACCCUGCAAAGCAUUGCAGAUAGGAUUUCUUGCUUCUGUCACUGUGUUUGGCAGCUUUGGAAAGACCAUUAAGUUAGUACCUCUCCAAAGCUAGAAGAUAGAAAUAUUAUUUGCUAUCAUCUUGCAGAGCAUGGCACAAUAAAGAUUUUGUGUGAAAGAAGUAAUUCCAGUGACAUAAAUUGUGUUAGCCUCCCAGUAAGCCCCUAAAAAUGUUAGCAAAAUGUCACCUUUGUCAUUCCAAAAGUUAUAUAAUCUGUAAGUCCUUUCAUGGGAUGUUUGGAACUUGAAUUUCUCAAUACUAUUUCUUUAAGCCUCUCCCCUCCCUUUAACUAUGCUUAAUAUUUGCAGAACUACUUUUAGACUACUUGUAUUUUCAUUUGUUUUUCCUUGCAAAACUGAGGUUGAGGAUGAGGGCUACCUAGAAGCAUUAAACAAAAGCUCUACUGAUCCAGCACAUGCCAGAUAGGCCACUUCUUUAGGAAAGAAUUUUCUUCAAAAUGGGAGGUAUUUGAAAGCCAUUUAAAAAGUUUAGAUCCUUGUGUUGCAAGUUUCCUUGUUUGAGGAAGGUGCCAGGGGAUGUGAAAAAGAGCUGAAAAACUUAACCCCUGAAAAGAGACCUCUUUUAUGACACCUAUAGGUGCUGGUAUUUGGAUAGGAGAAAUGCCUAAAAGCUGUUUGUUUCUGCAUGCUUAUCUGCAAGGAUCAGCAAUCAACAAUUCAAAUCUCUAAAUUGUAAGUGGCAUAAAACAGGCUGGUGCAGCAUUGGAGCAGAUAGUCAUAGUAUCUCUUAGUUGGGGCUUUCAGCUUGCCCAGUUCACCCUGACCAGUCCUUGCUUGGUACAAAACAAAUGCAAGGAAUAAGUGUUGAAUCAGUUUCUUUCACAUCUGAAUUUGAGGCUCAAGUGAAAUUAAAUUGAAAUUUGGUUGAAACUGUUAAACCAGGUUUCCAUUUCUCUUAAAUAACAGAAUUGCUUUUUAUUUAGGGAAAUAUGAAUAUUUAGCUGCCAUACUGUUCUUUUGCUCUCAGCCUACCAAAAGGAGGUGGAUGGUAAAUACUGCAGUAGUUAAAUUUUAAAGUUAAAUUAAAAAUUUAAAGUUUAAGUUUAAAGUUAAAUUUAAAGUGCAAUUACUGCAGUAGUUAAAUCUAUAUUUGAUUACUCAGGGAUUAACUUUUUUUUAAAUCACAGCCAUAAGUAAAUGAAGUUUCCAGUUUAACGAGUAAACGAUAUACUCCAUGACCAUGUGGAAACUUUUCUACAUACACGUGCAAAGCUCUUUGCUUUGUCACAGUGUCCUUGGUGGUCACUACUUUGAAUAUUGUAUAUAAAAAUAUGGUGGUCUCUGUGUAAAAACAAAAAAACCCAACAAUAACAAAAAACCUAUUGCCUCUGACCUGUUUAAUUUAUAUAUUCACAAACAUUGGAAAGGUGGCGUGCUAGGAAACUGCAGCGUGAGUUCUUUGGAAGAUAAUUUUGUCCUGACAUCUAAUUUAAUUUAGUUUUUCAUGUAUAAGAGUUGUAAAAGCCUUUUAAUGCUUUGUUUACAUAUAAUUUUGAGUUUCAUUUUUCUCUGUAUAGAAUGAAUAUAAAUGAAGAAAUGCUGGUCUUUUUCAGUGAAGAAUCAGAACUCGUUCAGUAUGUUCUUCGUUCAUACAAGUUUAAGGAAAUACUUGGGUUAGCAAUUUAAAAGAGCAUUAGAGUAGAUGGAAUUUAUUAAAUUCAAUCUUAUUUUUAAUAAUGUAAGGAACUUGAAAGGAAUAAAAUCAUUAAAAAAAAAUUCAUGGAAAUAUCUUCCCUGAGCUUGCCCUAGCCUUGGAAGACCAUGCAAUAAUGUCCUUUGGGAGCCAGUGAUAAAAGUGCUGUAUUUAAUUAAGAAGGAAGACUGGCACAAAACCUCCACAGUGUGAGGAAUUAUACUGAGAAGCCGCUUUGUCUGGUUUCUAGCUUUGGUUUCUCUGGUAGGUUUUGGGUGGGGCAGUUUCACUACACAGUUUGGCAGUGACUGUACAGUACUUAAGCACUUGCUCUGUCUUCAUUGUCUCUUUUUAUCAUAUGAAAAAUGGAAUUUAUUAGCAGUUUCUAAAAAGAUGGGCAGUUGUUUUCCAGAAGCCUAAAUCUUAUGUUAAUGUUCAAAGAAGUAGUUCAAAGAACUGUUUGUUCUUGUCUCUUUUUAAAUUAGUAGGGUUUCUUUGCCUUCAUGUCCACGGUACAGGUAGCUGCUCUAUAUGUAAGAAUUUCUUGGUCUUCAGUAUGAUUCACAGGGUUCAGUGUGCAGCUAAAGCUGCUUUUUUGCUUGACUCUUGCACAUCAUGCAGCAGCCUGCUAUACUGAGAGAGUUGUUUUGUAAUUGGCUGAUACUGGCCACAACUGCUUUAAAUCAAAAGGUGUAGUCAUGCUCCCCUAGCUGUGGGUUGUCACCAGUUCUCUAAUAUUGGCUUUGGCACUAGUGUCCGUGUGGCUACUCAGUUCACCUCUUGAUGGAGAAUUUAGCCUGCUAAAAUAAGUAAGGGUGAAAUUUCAUAUAGCAUCUAAUGCAGUAAAACUGGGUAGUUGCCAAAAGGGGUAAUCCCCAGUCUUCCCGGCCUUGGGCUCCUGCUGCUCCCUUGCUUUGGCCUAGCUGUCUUGAAGCCAUAGAAUAAUUCGGUUCAGCUUGUUCAUCUGAGGAAAACUAAUCCAUGAAAAAGUGAGGAAGGCUGUCAUCUAAAAUUAAUCCUUUUGCUGUUCUGCCAGCUGGUCCUUGACCUACUGUCAUCAUGAAAAUAAAAAGAUUAACAUUUUCUUAACUGCAAGUCAGGCAAUAUCAAAAGUCUGCUCUUCAUAUUUAAUGAUCUGAUUUACAAAUGUUUACUUUCUGUUGGUAUCUUGAUUUUUUUAAGACCUCACACUUCCUAAUUUAUAUUGUGAGUUGGAUCUCACAAUAUAACUGCUACAGGAGGAUAAAUUGGAUAUUUGCCUAUCCUAAAAUUGGAAAAGUGUCCUCUGAAUUGUGAAUAAUAUAUGCAUAUAUGUGUGGAAAUAAAUUAAUAAAUCAAGUGUCUCCUAACAUUGAGGAGAAAGAAAACAUCUCAUGUUUCUGCUGAAGUGUUCAGGAGACACUUAGAGAAUCUUGUCUUACGUGAAUUGUUUUUGUCUGUACAGUUCCUUGAGGGUGAAAGACCAUUUAGUCCAGCAAAUGUCUGCUGCAUUUUUGAGGUGGGAGAGGAUUUGCUAUGUAAAACAUUCUAUGUUCAAAACUCAGCUUUGCUGAAUGAUUUCUUGUGUGUUUUUUGGUUCAAUAAACAUGCAUGUUUAAAAUCUG